GGGGUGGCCGUGGGCAGUGCGGGGGCGGGGCUGGGUGAGGUCACUUUCCUCAGCCGGGCGGCCUCCGGACACAGCUCGGGGCUCUCCUAUUGGGCGUCGGGCACGGGCGUGGCCGGGUGGGCGGGGCUUUGUGGCUGUGGGGGUUGGGGCUCUGCUGCCCCUCCCCACGCCCUGCUGCCCGCCCUGGCCCUGCCCCCCACCAUGCUCUGCAGCUACUUCUUCCUGCUCCGCC